GACGAACCGUGCGAACGUUGUUCGGAAUCACUGGGCUUAAAGGGCGCGUAGGCGGGCGAUCAAGUCAGCGGUGAAAUCUUUCGGCUCAACCGGAAAAGUGCCCCUGAUACUGGCCGUCUCGAGGGAGGCAGGGGCAUGUGGAACUUCUGGUGGAGCGGUGAAAUGCGUAGACAUCAGAAGGAACGCCGGUGGCGAAAGCGACGUGCUGGACCUCUUCUGACGCUGAGGCGCGAAAGCUAGGGGAGCAAACGGGAUUAGAUACCCUUGUAGU
rnacentral:rRNA from 1 species